UACGUAGGGUGCAAGCGUUAAUCGGAAUUACUGGGCGUAAAGCGUGCGCAGGCGGUGAUGUAAGACAGGUGUGAAAUCCCCGGGCUUAACCUGGGAACUGCAUUUGUGACUGCAUCGCUGGAGUGCGGCGAGGGAGGGGAUCGGAUCCGCGUGAGCGAUGAAUGCGUAGAUAUGCGGAGGAACACCGAUGGCGAAGGCAAUCCCCUGGGCCUGCACUGACGCUCAUGCACGAAAGCGUGGGGAGCAAACAGG
rnacentral:rRNA from 1 species